rfam:Saccharomyces cerevisiae Lalvin QA23 chromosome XI QA23_c11_56, whole genome shotgun sequence.
GUAACUGAAUGAUGAUAUAAUUUGCGAUCUAGGGCUAAUCACUUGGAACACCGCCAUGUUCUAUAUGGGUGAUUAGCGAAGUGCGAAAAAUUUUUUUAUCUGAUAUUUUC